GAAAAAAAAAAAAAGAGGAAGGGAGAGAGAGAGAGAGAGAGAGAGAGAGAGAGAGAGAGAGAGAGAGAGAGAGAGAGAUCUUCCAGCGCCGAUUCCGGCAAUUUUCAGCAGCAAAAAUGGCCAACAUACCGAACUCUUGCUCGAUGAAGAAACUCGUAUGCGUGAUCACCUGAAUAGUACUUUUGCAGGCGUAGUUGAGGUUGGGCGUACAUUGGAGUUGAGGCAUAGUCAACAACAUGGCUUCUGCAAUUUUAUUUGAUUUAGGUUUUCCUUAAUUACCCUUGGUGUUAGAAUUGCUAUGAUUACCUGAGGAAAUUAAUGUUAUUUAAGUUGUGAUUUGUGUUAUGUGAUUUUUGGUUGAUGUUGUAAUUUGGGGAGCAGG